GUAGGGAAUUUUCGGCAAUGGGCGAAAGCCUGACCGAGCAACGCCGCGUGAGGGAAGAAGGCCUUAGGGUCGUAAACCUCUGUUGUGUGGGAAGAAGAGCGUGACGGUACCACACGAGGAAGUCCCGGCUAACUACGUGCCAGCAGCCGCGGUAAUACGUAGGGGACGAGCGUUGUCCGGAUUUACUGGGCGUAAAGGGCGCGUAGGCGGUCAUUUAAGUCAGCUGUGAAAUGGUUUGGCUUAACCGGAUCAUGCGGUUGAAACUGGAUGACUGGAGUGCUGGAGAGGCAAGUGGAAUUCCCAGUGUAGCGGUGAAAUGCGUAGAUAUUGGGAAGAACACCGGUGGCGAAGGCGACUUGCUGGCCAGUAACUGACGCUGAGGCGCGAAAGCCAGGGGAGCAAACGGGAUUAGAUACCCUAGUAGUCC
rnacentral:rRNA from 1 species